rnacentral:tRNA from 1 species
ACCUGGCUGACUUGGUUGGUAGAGCAUGAGACUCUGGAUCUCAGGGUUGUGAGUUCAAGCCUUACGCUGGGCA